rnacentral:rRNA from 1 species
UUUCCUACGGGGCGCAGCAGUGGGGAAUAUUGCACAAUGGGCGAAAGCCUGAUGCAGCAACGCCGCGUGAAGGAAGACGGUUUUCGGAUUGUAAACUUCUGUUCUUAGUGAAGAAUAAUGACGGUAACUAAGGAGCAAGCCACGGCUAACUACGUGCCAGCAGCCGCGGUAAUACGUAGGGGGCAAGCGUUAUCCGGAUUUACUGGGUGUAAAGGGAGCGUAGACGGCAUAGCAAGUCUGAUGUGAAAGAUCGGGGCUCAACCCCGGGCCUGCAUUGGAAACUGUUAAGCUGGAGUACAGGAGAG